CAGGUAGACUCCUUAUAGGACGUAGACAUCCGCUAAGAACGGAUUUUACGAAACUCGAUCCCUAAGGGGGUAAAACGGGGGUUGGAAGUUUGUAUGAAAGUCCUAUGUUUUUGAAGUAAGAGACUUGAAAUUUAAAAUGUAUGCUCUAUAGAUGAUGAGAAGAUGUCCAAAUAAUGUACCUUUAGAAAUGAACUCCCUUUUGGGGUUAAAACGGGGGAUGGUAGGUUGACUCACUCAUCACGAAAUCUCCGAAA
rnacentral:misc_RNA from 1 species